rnacentral:misc_RNA from 1 species
AACGCACGAGACCUGCGGACCUGCGGAAGGAUCAUUACCGAGUUUACAACUCCCAAACCCCAAUGUGAACAUUACCUUUACUGUUGCUUCGGCGGGAUCGCCCCGGGCGCGGCCGAGAGGCCCAGCCCCGGAUCCAACGUGCGCCCGCCGGAGGACCCCAGACUCCAUGUUUCUUGCAAGGUAUUUCUGAGCUGCUCCUAGCGAGCAAAACAAAAAAUGAAUCAAAACUUUUAGCAAUGG